rnacentral:lncRNA from 1 species
AAAACUAAAGUGCUUUAUGUUCAACGAACAAACCACCAGGCCAAAUUCAUAAAUUAGUUUGUGUUGAACAUGUUGAAAUUAUCAAAUUAAAUUAAUAUAGAAAACAACAAUAUAAAAGCAAAAGCAAAAAACCCUAAAUCAACAUAAACAUAAAAUUCCCUAACUCCUAAAUCCAUGGCCAGCCGCCUCAUCUCUCUGGCGAUAUCCUUCUUCUUCUUCAUACCUCUAAAACUUCGAGCCCUAAAAUUCAAGGGUCCAUGCCAUAAGAAAUCCUAACACCACUGCUCAAAUUCUAAGACCCAUACCAUACGAAACCCUAACGAUCUACAUUAUGCAAAACAUCCACCAUGUCAUUAUGCCACAAGCUCACAAGACCUGCUUUAGAUCUCCACAUUUUGCUCACCCUACUCAAGUGCACACCGCCCCUCUCGCUUCGACUUCUCGGGAUUUCUUGUUAGCUGAAGUUUUGUUUUCUUCCACUAAUUCGAUCUUCGAAAGGUCUCAGAGCUCCAAGUAACUCAGUAAGCUCGGUUUUCUUCUAUUCUCUUGGAUACUUGCUUACACAUUCCUUUUUUUUGUGUUAAAUUUGUUGUUUUGUUGUGUUAUAUGGAUCGAUGAGAGUCACAGACUUUGAAUUGAAAAAUGAAAAUUAGUUUUUUUUUCUGUGCUACAAAAAUGGGCGGAGACUGCAAGCAAGAGGGAAUGAAGCGACUCGAGUCACGAAGAGUCCUGUGACUUGCGAGAGGUGACAUGUAACUAUGAGAAAUUGAAAUAUUUGAUUAUCGAGUAAAUAACAUUGAGUUCCCUAUAUUUUUAUUUUUAGUAAAUAACGAUACAUUAGUUUCAGUUUAUUUCAAAUAGGUUCCUCAUCCUUUGCCAGUGACCAAGUUGUGCAACCCUAACAUCCACAGCACCUCUUUUCGCUUCAAUCAUGACCGGAGCAUCAGAGCUUGAGUCUAUCCUUUUAUGUUCAUCUCCGUCUUGUUCUUCAUCCAUUUUUGCAUCUUCUACAUGAAUGGCUUCUGGUUCUUUGGUUUGAUUUUCUUCUGUGCUGCCUUUUGGUUCUCUCCCUUCGCCGACUUGUUCAGCCACUUUCGUAGUUUCAAUUCUGGAGCUCUGAAGGGGGCCAGUCAAUGAAGCUGUAGCUGAGUCCAUCAAUGCUGAUUCCUCAGUUUUUAUUUCCCCUGAUUCUUGUGGUUGUUGCUCUCCUUCGAGGUUAAUCUUUGCUUUUUGUGGAGUUUCUGUGGUUCCUUAUUGCUCAAAAAUUUUUGGCGCAAACUCAUCUCCAGUUUGAACUGGUGUGUAUGGGCGCUCAAUGAGAUCUGCUUCAGUUGUUGCAUAAGAGCUUUUCUCUAACUCACUAGUUUCUUGAAUGAUUUUGCUGUCUGUUGCAAACCCCCUUAUGCUUUCUUUUUGUGACAUCGCCAUACUCGAUUCUUGAUAAAAUUAAAAGUAAAGCUGCUCAAAUUGUGAAAAAUAAAAGAAAAACCGAAAUGUCUAAUUAAUAUCUGCAAGCAAAAUGGCUUUCAUAAUUUAGCUGCAUUCUUGUCCUACUAAGUUAUGUUU